GACAUGGCUCGGGAUGAACGCUGGCGGCGCGCCUAACACAUGCAAGUCGAACGGCACCUAUCUUCGGAUAGAAGCGAGUGGCGAACGGCUGAGUAACACGUGGAGAACCUGCCCCCUCCCCCCGGGAUAGCCGCCCGAAAGGACGGGUAAUACCGGAUACCCCGGGGUGCCGCAUGGCACCCCGGCUAAAGCCCCGACGGGAGGGGAUGGCUCCGCGGCCCAUCAGGUAGACGGCGGGGUGACGGCCCACCGUGCCGACAACGGGUAGCCGGGUUGAG
rnacentral:rRNA from 1 species